rnacentral:rRNA from 1 species
CCUACGGGCGACAGCAGUAGGGAAUCUUUCACAAUGGGCGAAAGCCUGAUGGAGCAACGCCGCGUGCAGGAUGAAGGCCUUCGGGUUGUAAACUGCUUUUAUAAGCGAGAAAUAUGAUGGUAACUUAUGAAUAAGGAUCGGCUAACUACGUGCCAGCAGCCGCGGUCAUACGUAGGAUCCGAGCAUUAUCCGGAGUAACUGGGUGUAAAGAGUUGCGUAGGUGGCAUAAUAAGUAGCUAGUGAAAUCUGGUGGCUCAACCAUUCAGACUAUUAGCUAAACUGUUAAGCUCGAGACCGUUAGGGGUAACUGGAAUGUCUAGUGUAGGAGUGAAAUCCGUAGAUAUUAGAAGGAACACCAAUAGCGUAGGCAGGUUGCUGGGACGGUUCUGACACUAAGGCACGAAGGCGUAGGGAGCAAACGGGAUUAGAUACCCCUGUAGUC